CGUAAUGAUAUCGUAACCACUCCUAGUCACAGUGUGAUUCCAUGGGAUUUAGAUGGGAAGAGCCACCUUCAAGGGAGCAGCACCACUUUAUGGGCCUGGCCUUGACUCAAUGGACCAGCUUUGACUAAAUGGGCCAGCGCUGACAUCCACAGCACUCAGUCCCUAAACUGGAGAUGUGGUGUGACCAGCAGGCUCACAUUUCUGCUACCGUGACUCCUGGGUAAUGACGAACUGCAACCUGAAACUGGAAGCAGGGUCUCUCCAUGAAUCUGGAACUUCCUAACUCGGCUGUACUCCCUGUUCUGCAAGAUCUGCCUGUGUCCACCUCCCAAACUUAAGUCCUCAUGCUUGUGCAGUAAGCUUUUUACUGGGCCAUGUCUCCAGCCAGUACACUGAUUCUGCAAAGCACCUACCAUCCACAUUUCCCAAAGAAUUCAUCUGAGGCUCGGAGGAAGAUUUGAAAAUCAAGUGCUUGGACUGGUGAGACCGCUCAGCAGAUAGACACCUGCCACUAAACUUGUCAAUCUGCAUUUGACCCCUGGGACCCACGUAUCUUGGGAGUUGUAUGCUGACCUGGUAGGGUGCCAUAGCACACCCACACCCACUCUCUUGGAUGUACACAACAAUCUAGCAAAAACUUCAGAAACAAAGAAAAUCAGGUCCCCACUCUCACUAGCACAGGCAACUUCUCUGGCUUGCUGCCUGCUGUAGGGAAUGUUCUUGAUUCCAAGGGAGGCUAGGCUCCUAAAAACAUUCUAGAGAGUUGUCGUCCUUCAGGGGCUGAUUGUAAAGACCACACUCUGAGAGGAAAGACACCCAGAAAAGAUAACUAGGUGAAGCCAUUUAGGUAGGAAGUGAAAACAGCCUCAAACCUUGGGAAGGCCCUAAAGACCAGUGGACCCCAUUUUUUUUCAGUUACUUUUCACAUCAAAUCCCUGAGCUUUUAGCAAACCACCUCCCAAGUAAUGAAGAAAAACCUAGUGAGUUCCUGCUUGUCGGUCAUGCAAAUGAAGUAGCAACCAACUUCAGCCAUUCUAGCAUGAUGCCAUCAACUAUAAUCACAGAAUGGCAAAUUCCCAAAGGAAAGGAUGGCAGUCAGCAGGAGGCUGUCCAUGAAAACCCACUCAUUCCUCCUCCAGCAACAGAAGAGGAUUUGAAGCAUUAAAUCAGCUUUCUUACACAA